rnacentral:lncRNA from 1 species
GUAUUAGGGUGCCGGUAAAGAUAUCUGCCACACGUCUCAAGAAGAUUGCAUGCAACAUCUAUGUUGUGAUGGGUAAAGUCAUCUAAAAAAGCCUUAGACAGCUGAAAAUGAGCCCAGAUGGUGCAAUCUUAAAUUUGCAAAGCUCUCCGAUAAAUCGAAUUUGAAUUGAACCAUCCAAGAAACAAUAGAAAUAAAAGAAAAUGGGUUUAGGUAAAUCAAGUUGAGGGGACCACUAAAAUGAAAACCACCUCCAGUUGUAAGAACCAUGAGAACUUUUUGAUCCGGGGCGAGUUGGACCAAAUUUUUUUUCAUAAACGUAGAUGCGUGUAUUAUAAACACAUUUGUA